rnacentral:misc_RNA from 1 species
UCAGAGGAGAGUUCGAAUGGAGGAGGGAUUUGAGUAACAACAAUCAACCGACUGGUUGUCAGAGUCUGGUACUGCAAGCUAUAACGCUAUUUUCUCAAAUACUAACGGGUAGAAAAGCACAGACUCGUUUCCUUUGAGCGCACAAGCACCAUGAGCAGCUCUACCAAAUCCAGAAACUUCCGCCGCCGAGGCGAUGACUAUGAUGAUAACAACGAUACUAGCACCAACAUUCACAGCUCCGUCCCUUCUUCCGCUGUCUCCCGUAAACCUUCUGCCUCUUCCUCUUCUUCCAAACCCAAGAAGCUCCUCAGCUUUGCCGACGACGAAGACGACGAUACCCCAUCUUCCCGCAUCUCCUCCUCCAAAUCUUCUGCUUCUCAGAAACCUUCUUCGCGCCUCACCAAACCCAGUUCUUCUCACAAGCUCACCGCCUCCAAGGACCGUCUACCUCCUACCCCAUCGUCUACCGCCUCCAAUGUGUUUCCCCAAGCAGGAACUUACACCAAAGAAGCCCUUCUUGAGCUCCAAAAGAACACCCGCACCCUCGCUAAACCCACGUCUUCCGCUUUGAAGACUCCUUCCUCAUCUACUUCUGAGCCCAAAAUCAUUCUCAAGGGCCUCCUCAAACCAGCCCAGGAAGACCCUGUCUCGCAAACCCUAAAACAAUCCCAACAAUUAGGCUCCGAGGAAGAAGACCAACAGCCAGAAGAUAGUAACAGGAAUGAUGCGGAAAAUCGAUUGGCAUCAUUGGGGUUGGGGAAGUCGAAGGAUUAUUCGUUGAUUCCAGACGAGGAGACUAUCAAGAAGAUCAGGGCAAAAAGGGAGCGGAUGAGGCAGUCGAGGGCAGCUGCUCCCGAUUAUAUAUCCUUGGAUGGAGGUUCUAACCAUGGAGCGGUAGAAGGCUUGAGCGAUGAGGAGCCUGAGUUUCGGACGCGGAUUGCCAUGAUUGGCAAGAAAGAGACCAGUAGCAGCAGUCACGGUGUGUUUGAGGAUUUUGACAAUGACGGUGAUGACAAUGGUCAUAUCAAAGCAAUGAUUGGUAUCACUGCUGCUAGAUAUCCCAAUAGUCAAGUCAUUGUGGAGGAUGGUACUGGUGGUGUCGACGAUGAGGAUGAGGAGGACAAGAUGUGGGAGGAAGAGCAAUUCAGGAAGGGUUUAGGGAAGAGAAUGGACGAUGGGUCUGGUACUAACAGGGUCUUCACUAGUGUUACUACUUCUGUGGUGCAAAAUCAGCAGCCACAACAGCAGCUGCAGAGACCGGUUAUGUAUGGUUCUGUUCCAAGCAUUGGAGGGGCAUCUGUAGCAUCUCAAGGUUUAGAUGCCUUGUCCAUACCGCAACAGGCUGAGAUUGCUACGAAAGCUUUGCAGGAUAAUAUCAGGAGGCUUAAGGAAUCUCAUAGUAGAACAGUUUCGUCACUGACAAAGACUGAUGAGAAUUUAUCUGCCUCAUUGAUGAAUAUUACUGCUCUUGAAAGAUCUCUAUCUGCCGC